UACGAAGGGUGCAAGCGUUACUCGGAAUUACUGGACGUAAAGCGUGCGUAGGUGGUUUGUUAAGUCUGAUGUGAAAGCCCUGGGCUCAACCUGGGAAUUGCAUUGGAUACUGGCAGGCUAGAGUGCGGUAGAGGAUGGCGGAAUUCCCGGUGUAGCAGUGAAAUGCGUAGAGAUCGGGAGGAACAUCUGUGGCGAAGGCGGCCAUCUGGACCAGCACUGACACUGAGGCACGAAAGCGUGGGGAGCAAACAGGG
rnacentral:rRNA from 1 species